UGCAGUCGAACGCGAACGCACCUUCGGGUGUUAUUAGAGUGGCGGACGGGUGAGUAACACGUGGGAACAUGCCUUUCGGUACGGAACAACGCUUGGAAACGAGUGCUAAUACCGUAUACGCCCUUAGGGGGAAAGAUUUAUCGCCGAAAGAUUGGCCCGCGCUAGAUUAGCUAGUUGGUAAGGUAAUGGCUUACCAAGGCGACGAUCUAUAGCUGGUUUGAGAGGAUGAUCAGCCACACUGGGACUGAGACACGGCCCAGACUCCUACGGGAGGCAGCAGUGGGGAAUAUUGGACAAUGGGGGCAACCCUGAUCCAGCGAUGCCGCGUGAGUGAUGAAGGCCUUAGGGUUGUAAAACUCUUUCAGAUGGGAUGAUAAUGACAGUACCAUCAGAAGAAGCUCCGGCUAACUCCGUGCCAGCAGCCGCGGUAAUACGGAGGGAGCUAGCGUUGUUCGGAAUUACUGGGCGUAAAGCGCGCGUAGGCGGCUUUGCAAGUAGGGGGUGAAAUCCCGGGGCUUAACCCCGGAACUGCCCUCUAAACUGCAGAGCUAGAAUCCUGGAGAGGUGAGUGGAAUUCCUAGUGUAGAGGUGAAAUUCGUAGAUAUUAGGAAGAACACCAGUGGCGAAGG
rnacentral:rRNA from 1 species